rnacentral:rRNA from 1 species
AGUACCGUGAGGGAAAGGCGAAAAGAACCCCGGCGAGAGGAGUGAAAAAGAACCUGAAACCGUGUACGUACAAGCAGUGGGAGCACCUUCGGGUGUGACUGCGUACCUUUUGUAUAAUGGGUCAGCGACUUAUAUUCUGUAGCAAGGUUAACCGUAUAGGGGAGCCGCAGGGAAACCGAGUCUUAACUGGGCGUUAAGUUGCAGGGUAUAGACCCGAAACCCGGUGAUCUAGCCAUGGGCAGGUUGAAGGUUGGGUAACACUAACUGGAGGACCGAACCGACUAAUGUUGAAAAAU